AGACGGGGUGUCACUAUGUUGCCCAGGCUGGUCUCCAACUCCUGGACUCAAGUGAUCUGCCUGUCUCAGCCUCUCAAAGGGCUGGGAUAACAGAUGUAAGCUACUGCACCUGGCCUCCAAUGAGUUGUUAUGUGAAGAGAACAUGAUUGUAGAAGUUAGAGGACUGCAACCAGGCCUGAACUCUCAAGGACAGAAAUGGGUCCAACCUGGCAUGACAUCCUCUAAAUCUUUAGCUCCCGGCCCCUCAGGUGCCCCCUCCAGCUACCUCCCUCUUCCUUCUCCUCAUUCCCCAAGCCAUAGCUGGUUGGGCCAACCUCCAGACAUUAGCCUGUUUGCAAACUCCUAUUCAUCCCUCAAAGCCUCACCUUCAAUGCUCUCCUCCCCAAGAAGCUCUCUCUCCUCUACCUCUAGACCUUCUCCAGCCCUCUUCCCUCUUUCUGGCCUAGCCCUGACCCCUGCGAGUGCCUGUGUGCAGCUUUGACUCCUCCAGCCUGAGUGUUCCUCAAGGGUUGAGACCAGAGCCAAUGUUUCCCUAGAGUUUGUCACCUUGCAGCACAGAGUGGACCCAUGGGGGUCAGGCAAAGGAGAGUUUGAUGACUCAAUAUUAUCGGUGAUUUUGCAUCACUUGAAGGAGACCCUGCCUUAAAUUCAGAACUUGA